AAUCCAUGUUGUGGACAUUGAUAGAGUAAACAUUUAUAUCGUUCCCAAGCCUCUGAAUAGAAUUCUGAGUCUAGUUGUUGGAAAGCAGUAAUCUCAUCCCUUAACUU
rnacentral:snoRNA from 1 species